AGGGGAGUAGCUCAAUUGGCAGAGCACUCGUCUCCAAAACGAGCGGUUGCGGGUUCAAGUCCUGUCUCCCCUGCCA
rnacentral:tRNA from 1 species